GAUGCGGUGGCUCAAUGGUAGAGCUUUCGACUCCAGAUCGAAGGGUUGCAGGUUCAAUUCCUGUCCGUGUCA
rfam:Scheffersomyces stipitis CBS 6054 chromosome 4, complete sequence.